GUUUCUUGACGCUGGCCAGUCCGCCUGGCAGAGAGCACGGCUCAGAGCUCUCCAUGACCUUGAAACACAAAACAAAAUGUCUAUUGAUGGCUCCAAUGACAAGAUGAGAAAUUAUGCCAUAAAGCAUGCACGUCGUUCUCAUCAAUCACGGUUUUCAAUGUUGGAUCACCCAAGCCAUCACCACUACCAGCUCCGAGACGAGGGGAUGUGGAGACAGAGGGAUCACAUACUCGUUUGUCAUGAUAGACAUCAGCGGAGAAGAUGGACGAUGAACAUUUCAGAACACCUCCAAGUAUCUAGAAGCGCAGGGGUUGGCGGCUUUCUAGGCUAUCGUGCAUUACCAUGACGUGAAGUAUCCACAAUACCGAGAGCAAUAAAAGAAGACUUAUUUUAAACCAAGGCCCGUUAGUUUCAUAUUUCAGGGAGAGAGAGAGAGUGUGAGGUGCCCAGGAAGAGUGACUUCCUAAAAUGCAAAGCCAUAGCAAUCUUUAUAUCGGUCACUUAUAUAUCAUUCAGAUUUCUACUUCUCUAAUAAGAUUAACUGCCACAGUUCUGACUUUUUAUAAUAGGAAUAGGAAGUAGUGUAGAUUGAUUGCCUUUUGGUUAUUUUGAUAAAUUACUUCUCUGGUUUUGGUUCACUUUGUCAGAACUAGCAGUAUUAGACAUUUGCUAAAUGUUUGAUUAAACGGUGUAAGCAUUAUAUCAGCAGGCCUGUAAUAUUCUAGACUCUAGUCUAUGGAAUGCAGCAGUAGCUUACGGGCUAAAUUCAGAAAGCCCGGUCUUUGGGACUCUAUUCUAAGACGCUCAUGGGGUGACACUCACUGCCACGCAGCAACUACAAUGCACAUUCGAAAAAAGACAUGUAUCACUCAUCUUAUUUUACACUUUUCUUCACAUUGUCCAUAUAAUUGUUCAUAUAACUUUACAUUUUUGAAGCCAACUGCCACUACUCAGUUAAACUGUAGUGAACUGUUAUUGUUAAAUGAAAAGCAUAAUGGGUUUUGAAUUGCUAAAAUCUUAGUCACCUUAGAGUUCUUGUCUUGCUGAAAUAGCCAGCUAAACAAGUAUAACAGGUAUCGGACAAUCUGAAAGUCUUCGGUUAGCAAAAGAACCCUUUUGUUACUUUAUGUUUAUAUAAAUGAUACUCAUUAAUAUUCAUUUUGCUCAACUCCAUUAUGAUGUAACAAUAUGCCAUGUGUCAUCUUCAUGCAAUUUUAAUGAGCGCUCUCGAACACGUGCGCGCCUUAUGCGCUUUAAACCUGGAAAUGUGUACUUAUUAAUUUCAACUCAACUUAAUUUUAAAAGGCUCAAAAUCAAUACUUUUAUGAGAUUAUUGUCAAAUUAUGAAUUAAUCAGUAGUGCUGAUUAUUUCAUAAAAACUUGGUUAGGUUAUAAACCAUGCAUCUUCCAAAUGACACUUCCUCUCUAGUCCUCUCAGACUUUGACAUCAGAAACCACUUCUGUUGAA